UACGUAGGGUGCGAGCGUUAAUCGGAAUUACUGGGCGUAAAGCGUGCGCAGGCGGUUCGUUGUGUCGGCGGUGAAAGCCCCGGGCUCAACCUGGGAAUGGCCGUUGAAACUGGCGAACUGGAGUGUGGCAGAGGGGGGUGGAAUUCCGCGUGUAGCAGUGAAAUGCGUAGAGAUGCGGAGGAACACCGAUGGCGAAGGCAGCCCCCUGGGAUAAUACUGACGCUCAUGCACGAAAGCGUGGGGAGCAAACAGG
rnacentral:rRNA from 1 species